GAUAAAGGGUGACCUCUCUAAGAAAUAUGUGACACCAUAUCUUUAGGACUGAUCCUAUUGACCGGCUUACUGCACAGUUGUUCCUGUUCCCUCUCACCCAUUCAUGUGUGUCUCUCAGGAUAUCACAUUAUCCCCCUUGAAAAGGACAACCUCUCUAAUAGAAGAGGGCACUUCACCACCCAUGAACAAAGUUCUUUUACAAAGGUAUAGGAGUAGCAGUGCUCCCUGCCCAGCACCUCCAAACAAGCUCUCAUCAAAAGGAGAGACAGAGGACAUGACUCAAUGCAGUCAAGUGCUUGCCAUACAAGUAUGGGAAGAUGAUU
rnacentral:snRNA from 1 species